rnacentral:rRNA from 1 species
CCUACGGGGGGGCAGCAGUAGGGAAUCUUCCACAAUGGGCGCAAGCCUGAUGGAGCAACACCGCGUGAGUGAAGAAGGGUUUCGGCUCGUAAAGCUCUGUUGUUGGAGAAGAACGUGCGUGAGAGUAACUGUUCACGCAGUGACGGUAUCCAACCAGAAAGUCACGGCUAACUACGUGCCAGCAGCCGCGGUAAUACGUAGGUGGCAAGCGUUGUCCGGAUUUAUUGGGCGUAAAGCGAGUGCAGGCGGGUCAAUAAGUGUGAUGUGAAAACCUUUG